CACUUACUCCCUCCGUUCGGAAUUACUCGUCCAAAAAAUAAAUGAAAGUAUCUGGAUGUAUUUAAGUUAUAGAUACAUUCAUUUUUGUGACAAGUAAUUCCGAACGAAGGGAGUACAAA
rfam:Triticum aestivum genome assembly, contig: Triticum_aestivum_CS42_TGACv1_scaffold_064031_1DL